rnacentral:lncRNA from 1 species
AGAAAAGGCCACUUGUGCCACUAUUAGGUUUUGCGGUGGUGAGUGCAUUUUUCCCCCCACACAGCGUCAGUUGUAAUUUUUUGUUGUUCCAUUUAAACUUUGAAUGAAAGUGUAAACACCGAGAGUUGAGGCCUUGUUGUCCUGCUUUUAUGCUAUGAGAGUUUCUCCCCCUCCUUUUAGUGACCUUGCUUCUCUAUUUCAGCUCCUGUCUGUCCUGUCUGAAGACAAGUUCCUUCAGGCUGCAGACCACUGCAGCCUCAAGAGCUGGGACGGUUAGAAGGAGGUAGCAAAGCCCCGUGCCUGGUGCCACUCCUGCCUGCGACAGGCCCUCGGUAAGUCAGGGUCACAGUUAGAUUGGGCUGUUGCAGGCCACUGUGGGGGCAUGCACUGGGGGGCCCCCUUGGCACUUGCCCGUCACACCGAUACCUGGCAGGCUGGCCUGCUGGGCAGAGCGCAGGAGCUUGGGGUGGAAGCUGCCAGCUCCCCACACUGAUCCCCUUUUACAGGAUUCCAGGCCAGGGCCAGCAGCCCUUCGGCACAGAACUUUCUGUACAUUCCACAGCAACUGAAAGGGCUUUUGUCCGCAACAGGAAGAACGAACGACAAAGGCAAUUGUGUGUCUCCUUGCAGACCUGCACAGCAGGCUUGGAAAGAGAAACUUCUUUCCCCAAGAGACCAGUUUGCCUGAGCGACUGCAAUCACAGAUGUGGUCACACAGUCACACAACACGGGAGCAGUGUGGUGUUCGAGUUCCCACGUGUGUGGCAGGGUGCUUAUAGCACGUACAGUACACACCCUCACACAUGCACACAAACCCCAACACACUGCUCCCAUGCCAGCCGAGAAGGGCUGUGAGUUACACGCCACAACUGCAAGGGGCCUCAGGAAGGCGUCCCGCUGACCCCUUCAGGAGCCAUCGCUUGAUUAUUCCUCUCUUCUGGUGGAGCCACAAAGGUCUAGAGGGUCCUAUGACUCGUCACAGGUCACGUUGUUCUUUUCGAGACCCACACCCCAUUCCUGUGAAGAACACUGGGCAGCAUCAGAGAAAGACCUGUCUACAAGAAGCCUAUCCUGGGGUCCCUUCAAACGCAUAGUUAUUCCUGGCCCAUUGAGUUCUGGGUAUAACUCCAGACCGCCCACAUAAGAUCCAUUACAUGGAAGAAAUAUUUCUCACCGGAGGAGAGUAGAUCUCUCCUUUUGCCAUUUUCUCCCUCCUCUUUUUCCCUUUUUCCCUGUAAUUGCCAUAAUAGGAGGCCAAAGGUUUGAAGGGUUUUAAAUUUUGUUUGUUAAAGGAAAAAGCUUUCCUUAUCAAAUGAAAUUAUUACGUAUCAGUUUAUUGCACCCUAUGAAUGGAAUAACACAGCCCAUUUCCCCUGCAGAUCUGACUGCCAGAAUUCUCAGUGCUGAGUUUGGUGGAUGGGUUAAAGCCACUUACUCAACCCAGGCACAUCUGCUUCUCCCAACAGGUGUCUGCCCUGGUGUUUGUUUUUGAUUCGUAUCUUGUCGCAUCCCAAGUUUUAACAUCAUAAGCAAUCUUUGUGCUAUGCAAAAAACUUUUAUUGACCUGGGAGAGUUGGGAAAUCUGAGUAUUAUUUCUGGCUCUGCCUGAAUGAUCAGUUCUACCUUGAGCAAGACAUCCCCUCUCUCUGGGUCUUGAUUUCCUCAUUUGUGAAACACGAAGACUGAGCUGUCUGUGUCUCCCAAGCUUGCCUGUCACAGCAUCACCAGGGGCUCUGGUUAAUUGUACAGAUCCCCAGGACCCUUGCCUGGAUGGCAGGGGAGGCUGGAAUCUGUAUCUUUAAAUCAAGCAGCCCAGUGGAUUCUUAUCUUCCAGCAAGUUUGGAAGACGCUAACACCAGAUAGUUGCUAUGGUCUCGUUCUGCACUAUGAUCUAUAAUUUAUAUAAAUAAUUUCUUAGAAAGAAGAUGCAAAAGGAUGAGGAUUUUGAAACUAUAUGUUUUCUAUUUGCUGGAUAUAGUUUAUUAUGAUCUUCAGUUUUCAUUUAUAAACACAUGAGGGGCACGCUUCAUAUUUCCCCACCCAAGUACUGGGUCUCCUGCCCACGCAGGCUGCGCUUCUUCAGGAGCUCAGCAAACAUUUCCCCAGACACUUGCAUGACUCCCCUCCCUCCACACCUUCCCCUGAGCGCUUGCUCAAACGUUACUUUGAGCAAAUGUGAGGCCUUCCGUGGGGCCAGUAUCACAGCUUCACAGCUCCCUCCUCGUUUCCAAUCCUCCUUAGCAUGCAUAACUGUGUAACCUCCUUAGCAUGCACAACUUUUUCUCCUUAGCAUACAUAACUGUGUAACCUCCUGAAUUUUCACUUAUCUAUCUUGUUUGUCAUCUGUCUUCCCCACUAGAACACAAGCUCCUUAAGGGGAGGGAUUUUUUGUCUGUUUUAUUCUCUGGUAUAGCUUCAGUGCCUGGGCUGGGACAUGGUAGUUGCUCAAUCAAUAUUUUUGUAAUUGGUAAAUGAAAUCCCUACUGGACGAAUGAAUGAAUGAAUGAAUGAACGAACGAAAUUCCAGAAAGGGUCCAGACGUUUAAUCCCAGGGAACAGCUUCUCCAUACCCAUGCCGGCUCCAGGCUUCCAGCAACUGUGUUCUAGUUCGUUGCUCAUUACACACAGAUAACAUUGGAAUCCCAUGAUUGAGGCUCUUCUUGGGAGGAUAUUACUCAAUCCUGCCUUGCUCCUGUGGGAUUGGCCUCAGGGCACACAAAGUUCCCCAGGCCCCCCACUCACAGCUUACUUCUUUAAAUAUUUUUUUUUCAACGUUUAUUUAUUUUUGGGACAGAGAGAGACAGAGCAUGAACGGGGGAGGGGCAGAGAGAGAGGGAGACACAGAAUCGGAAACAGGCUCCAGGCUCUGAGCCAUCAGCCCAGAGCCCGACGCGGGGCUCGAACUCCCGGACCACGAGAUCGUGACCUGGCUGAAGUCGGACGCUUAACCGACUGCGCCACCCAGGCGCCCCUCACAGCUUACUUCUUGAUGCGUGACCCUGACUGUGUCCUUUGACACAAUCCCCUUUUUUCUUUCCUUUUCCACGAGGAUCCACUGAGACCUCGGUCACCUUUGCUCCAGGCUGGGGUUGUCCACCUCCCAGCCACACUCCUGAACCUUUCUCUAAAAAGAAAAUGUUCUCGGGGCUCCUGGGUGGCUUAGUCGGUUAAGCAUCCGACUUUGGCUCGGGUCAUGAUCUCACAGUUUGUGAGUUCAAGCCCCGCAUCGGGCUCUGUGCUGACAGCUCAGAGCCUGGAGCCUGCUUUGUGGAUUCUGUCUCCUGCUCUCUCUGCCUCUCCCCCGCUCGUACUCUGUCUCUCUCUCAAAAAUAAAUAAAACAUUAAAAAAAUUUUUUUAAUUAAAAUAAAAAAAUAAAAAGAAAAUGUUCUCAUUUAACAGAGGGGAAAUGGCAGAUGCUGGGAUCCAUCUCCCAGCGGGAGGGAGGCCAGGCACCCCUUUAAUUUUAGUUUUUGAAGUAAACUCUAUACCUAGAGUGGGGCUUGAACUCAUGACCCUGAGAUCAAGAGUUUCAUGCUCUACCAACUAAGCCAGCCAGGUGCCCCAUUAGAAGCUUUUAAAAUUUAGCCAGCUACCACAGCUCAGAUUAACUACUUCCAAUUCCCUGGAACAGGGGUCUGGGCAUUAUCAUUUUUAAAGCUCCCAGGUGAUUUCAGUGUCCAGUCAGUGUUGAGACCUCAGGGCAGGGGAUGCAAGCCCCCACCACAUAUGCUAACACCUGCUCUCUCUGAAGCCCCUUUCCUGCCUCCUGGGCCAAGGGUUGCCCAGACCACAGAACUCUCUAGAAGCUGGAUUAACCCUUUGGGCUCUGCACUUCUGCCCUGAUGACUUCAGCAGCAACAGCCUCGAGGCCCCACAUGGGUGGUUCUGUUCUCCCAACUCUUCUCUCUCCCAGCUCUUCUCUCUUUUGGUGGAGGAAGGGGCAGGAUAUUAGUAAGUGGUUGAGGAGCAAUGCCACAGGUCUGGGAAUCAAGAGGCUUGGACUUUAGUCCUCUCUGGGAGCCCAUGUGACCCUGGCCCAGUCACUUGUUCCAUUCAAUACCUGUAAUCAGAUAGGUCAGUUCUGAGUUUCAGGGAAAUUCAUGUAUUUGUGAAGCGACCGCAUAUGCCACUGGUCCAUACAGUGACUUUGUGCAAAUCCAAGUGAAUUCUGGAUUUUGAUAGUCCCUCAGCUGCCUGCUCGUAUAUAAUGAACAAGUAUACCUGGCCUGAAUGAAACACACCUUAAAGGAAAUUUAAUUGGCGAAGAAAAUACUGGACCUGUACCUCCACCUGAGAUGAAAUGAUGGGUCUGCAAAUGGGAAAGGGUGGAGGAGAGAGGAGGCUCUGGGAUCUGCUGUGGAAUCUCUUGCAGCCUCAAAUGGCCCCUGUGCGGGGCUGGGACAGACCAGCAGCAGACAGCUCAGCAUGCAUGCUCUCAGCCAUGCAGGGGAGCUGAGACCUGGUUUGCAAACCUAGCAAUACAUGCUUAUGUGCCUGUGUUCACAAAGAGAAGCUGGAAAAUAAAACAGAUUUUUUAAAUGAAGAUUAAAUAGAGUCACUGAAGCUACAGAUGUUCACCUUCCAUCUGGACAUUUUGAAAUUGGUCAAAUUUGCUCUGAAAUACUUCCAUCCCCACUCUGCCUUCUCCCCUUCUCUGUGCCCUCUUGGCUUUUUUAAAUGUCCAGUGUCCCCAGUGCUCUGCUUACCAUUCUCCCUUUCUCAACCACCUCACCCCCAUCCCAUUCCCAUUCUACCCUUCCAGUUAACUUGAAAAGUUGUUGGAAAGACUACAGAUUAGACAGAUCUGGAUUCAAUUCCCAACUAACUGGGUGCACUUGAGGCAGUUAACAAAACCCAUUUGAGCCUCAGGUUCUUCAUCUGUAGAAUGGGGAUAAUGAUGCUUAGCUGAUAUAAUGACACUUAGUUGAUAGCGUUGCUGUGAUAAUUAAACAAAAAUAUACACAGAGUAUCAGGCAUAUAAUAGGUGUUUGAUAAAUGCAGACAGAUUCUACCAUUUUUCUCUCUGGAAAGGUGCUGCCCUUAUUUACUUAAGCCCUAGUACAAAUUUCGAUCAUAUCUUCCUUUUCCUAUACGUGUGGGUAUUAAUGCUUUUGUGGUUGUUGGGAAGCAUUGCUAUAUCUUGAGCAGCCCCAGGCAGCUCAUUUCCUGAAAUGCACUACUCUUUGCAAACACUCAGUCUUGGAGGGGCAGCGGCAGGGAGGCCAAGCUGUGUGGAAGAGGGCAGGGUGCCCUGGCUUUAUGCAUGCUUGACAGAUAGCCCACCGGGACAAAUGGUGUUGGGUUCUGAGGACACAUGUGUGGACACCCCCUUGGCCUCAAAGGCACAACAGGAUGCAGCCGCCUGCUCUUGAGCCUCAUAAGCCCUGACGAUGCUGAGGGCAUGCCCUCUGAAAAGCCAGGGUCUCCACGCCUCUCUGAGGAGCCCUGCCCACUAUUGAAGCUGCUCGUCAUUCUUCCACACCCCUGUCCUUUCCUAAAAGGCUCGGGCCAUAGGUUUCCCACUGACUGUCUAAAGUGAGCUGCUGACCUAGACCUCAAUACAGAGGGAGCACCGCGGCCUCCUUCAGCCUGGCAUCCUAGGCCUUGCCAAGGGAACAGCGGCUUCUUGGACGCCAAGAUGGAGAGGAAACACCACUCAGGUGACAUCGGCUCUCCUCUUGGGCACCUGUGGCUCCCAUGUCCGUGUGAGCACCUGCCCCCUUCCGAGGGCAGCCUCUUCUGUUGUCUCCAUUGUCCACUGUUCUCAUAGCCCCACACUCUGAGGCAGGACCUCCUAACAUUUUAGCCUUUGUUUGGAAAGAGUGUAAAAUCUCUGUGCAUUUUGAAGCAACAGAGCUGAGUCACAACCAGCAGAGAGCUCACUUCUUUCUGUCACAACGGACCAUGACUGUGAAGCCUCGUCCCCAAGGCACCUCCCCCUCAGCUUUCACAACCUUUCACAACCAACCAGUCCAAGCUUCUGAAGCUCAGGGUGUGUGGGUCAGAGCCUACUCGAUGCUAUGGUGGGGGUGGGCAUCUAGCCUUGUGCAGGAGACAGUAGUUAAAAUCUAUGAAAAGCUAGCUCUCCCCAGGAGGGAAGAACACUUCCUAAAAGAAGAAUCUAGAUGUCUUUCUCUGUUCUGUCAGUAAGUCAUUUCUGUUGUAGAUCGAAAGCAAAUAUAGGUAUUAUUAUCAAAAAUAAUCCCUUUGGGGUGCCUAGGUGGCUCAGUCGGCAUCUGACUCUUGAUUUUGACUCAAGUCAUGAUCCCAGUGUCGUGGGAUUGAGCCCCCACAUCAGAUGCCACGCUGAGCAUAGAGCCUGCUUGGGACUUUCAUUCUCUCUCUCUCUCUCUCUCUCCCUCUGCCCCUCUCCCCUGCUUGCACUCUCUCUCUGUCUUAAAAAAAAUCAUUUUUUAUUAUAAAAUCAGUAUGUGUUAAUUUGCUGAGAACCCAGAGAAGCAAAACAGAAACAUAAAAAGCAGCACAGCCCUCCCCCCCAUCUGCAUGUUUACAGUAACAACUACUUAUUGAAUGGUAUAAGCUAGGCGGAGUGCUAAGCCCAUCCUGUGCAUUUUUAAAUUGAAUCCACACAACCCUAUACAAUAGAUAUUAUUUAAACCUCCAGCAGAUAAUUAAACAGUCUCACAGAGGGUAAGUGUACAGUCAAUAGGGAACAGAGCUGGGAUGUGCACACACACCUCUCACCAUGGACUAGAAGACUUUAUUCUCUGUUAAGGGGCUUUCAGGCAGCAGAGGGAGCUGAGGAGCUCUUUCCAGCCCCUACAUCUCAAUCCUACAGCAGCCCCCCACUCUGGCAUUCCUGCCUGGUUGGCCAACUCUGCCCAUACCCACCUGCCCACCUGCACCAGCUUCUGCAGUCGCUUCGUCUUUGCAGCCACAGCAACACAUUUGCAUGUAGCCCCUGGGGUGGCCACACACCAUGGACAGAACUCUUCCUAUUAGGGCUGCUGAUACAGGAGUCAGAGGCCCUGCCCAUCAGUACCUUACAGGGUGACCUUGGACAAGAUCCUUGAGAGUUAUUAUUAUUAUAUAACUCUCAUGGGAAUAAUAGCAAUCAGUUUUUCCUGUGGUUCUAAAGGAGGUAAGGUAGGGGUGCCNNNNNNNNNNNNNNNNNNNNNNNNNNNNNNNNNNNNNNNNNNNNNNNNNNNNNNNNNNNNNNNNNNNNNNNNNNNNNNNNNNNNNNNNNNNNNNNNNNNNNNNNNNNNNNNNNNNNNNNNNNNNNNNNNNNNNNNNNNNNNNNNNNNNNNNNNNNNNNNNNNNNNNNNNNNNNNNNNNNNNNNNNNNNNNNNNNNNNNNNNNNNNNNNNNNNNNNNNNNNNNNNNNNNNNNNNNNNNNNNNNNNNNNNNNNNNNNNNNNNNNNNNNNNNNNNNNNNNNNNNNNNNNNNNNNNNNNNNNNNNNNNNNNNNNNNNNNNNNNNNNNAAUUUUUUUUUUCAACGUUUAUUUAUUUUUGGGACAGAGAGAGACAGAGCAUGAACGGGGGAGGGGCAGAGAGAGAGGGAGACACAGAAUCGGAAACAGGCUCCAGGCUCUGAGCCAUCAGCCCAGAGCCCGACGCGGGGCUCGAACUCACGGACCGCGAGAUCGUGACCUGGCUGAAGUCGGACGCUUAACCGACUGCGCCACCCAGGCGCCCCUAAACAUUUUUUUAAUAAAAAAUAAAAACCUACAGGAGGUAAAGUACACAAGACCAUCAUUACCGGUGGUUUAAAUGACAUAGAACAGUUACCGAGAAGGCAAGAAUAAGCUGUAUAAAACAUGUUCACAAUGUGUAAAGAGCAUUUGAUGACAUGAGACAAUAAGAACAGAUACAGGCAGACCACCAUGACACCGAAGGUGCCUUAGUUGUGGAACAGGGAUAGGCAAAUGCAUAUUGAUCAGAAAAUUUACCUCACAUGCCAACCCAGAGUAGGCAGGUUCCAUGUGACAUUGGAUGAACUGGGGGGCUGGAACCACCCCCCAUUCAAUGUGUGAGGGUGCGACUGAGAUUGGGCUGGAGUCAGGAGAGCCUGGGCCAAGAACACAGGCCUGGUUUUUCAUCUGGUGUGGCCCUUCCUGGAAGAGGCUGAGUCCCAUGAUCCCGGCCUGUUUUGGACUUUCUGGAACCUGGAAAAACAUCCCAUAGGCUUUGUCUCUUUGAACCUCAGAAUAAGAAGACUAAACAGCAACAAGAGAAGAGAGUGGGCCAAGGCUUGCAAUCUCCACAUCUAAGCACGUCAGCCCCACCAGCCCGAAGUGGUCAAAUCAAGCUGCUGACUUGUCAUCUCAUGGCCCUUCUGGGUCUCACAUCCUGCGGGCUUUUUUUUUUUUUUUUUUUUUUUUAAUGUUUAUUUAAAGAGAGAAAGCAUGUAAGCAAGGGAGGGGCAGAGAGAGGGGGACAGAGGAUCUAAAGCAGCCUCUGUGCUAAGAACACAGAGCCCCAUGAGGGGCUUGAACUCACAAACCAUGAGAUCAUGACCUGAGUUGAAGUCAGAUGCCUAACUGACUGAGCCACCCAGGCACCCCUGCCCUGUGGUUUUAAUAGCCAUCUCCUGCAACAGGAAGAAGAAAGUACCAUAUUUCUCCUGGGCUUUGACAGGCUCUUAAAACAAUGCUGUUUCUGUUUCAGAUGAUGAUACCCUGAAAUGAUCUGCCCAUCCCUACAGCUUCUCAUGCACCCAGUCAAUAAUUAAUUGACCAACUCACAUUCCUAGAAAGGACACUGUUGAAGACCCAGUGCUGUGUUGGGCCUAUGAGGUUGCUCAGAGGUUCACAACCCUGUCCCUGUCCUCAAGGAGGUUAGCCUCCAGAUGGUGUUUCAGUCACCUUGGAGCUCACCAUGGGCACAGGAAGAAAGAAAAAAAAAAAAACAGUACAGGAAAUGCCUUCCUUGGUGUCAGCCUGAGGACAUUUGCCUAUGUCUGGAAAUGUUUACAUGGGGAUUGCACCGUAUGGAGCAUUACACCACAUACAUCUGCCUUUGCAGUUGUAUUGUCCUUGCAUAUUUCCACGGGCUGAGAAAGGGAAGACAAGGAACGUUCCUGGGCUCCUCCUGUGGGUCAGCACUGUACCAACAGCUGACUGGGAUUAUUCAUCCUCACACUGCCUCGUGGGAAGCUUCAGGAAUCUGCUGUGCAGGGGGCAGAUCUCAGCUCUGAGAGGCAGGAGUGCUGAGCUCAGGGGGCUGAAGCUGAGAGUGCGGGUCUGUUAGCUAUUGGUUGUGGGGGUUAGCCAUAAGGUGACAAGGCAUGUUUCCAGCUCAUUAAGGGCCUUGGGUGCUGGCUAAGGAAGUUUCUCCUGGCUGCUGAGCUGAUCAGGUCUGUGGGGAAGCUCUGUGGCAGCUGUGUGAGGGCUGGCAGGAAGAGGGGGAGGGAUUGCAGAACAAGACUAGAGGAGAGGGCUCCAGAAGGGCAAAUCUGAUGUCCUUCUCCUCCUCCUCCCCACACACAGAAGAAUGGUCUUUGGACUCAAGUAAGUCAUUUUAGUAACCCAGCUUUAGAUUUUAGACCCAAGCAGUGGCCCCUAUAUUAAUUUGGAUAGUCAAAAUUGGCCACAUUGAGACAGCUGAGUGAGGGGAGCUUGUGCUGUGAACAGCAGCCUGGCUAGGUGACUGCUACGAGGACAAACGGAGGAGAUUUGGCACCAUGACUGAGGGAGCACCCGGGGAGAAGUGGGGGGAAGGCACUAAUUGAAGAUUUAGGCAGGCCUGGUUCUGAAAUCUGCCCCUGCCAUUUAUGAGCCAUAAGACCUGGAAAACAUCAUUUAAGCUCGUUGGUCCUCUUUCCCUCACCUAUAAAUAGAUUUCAUCAUCCCCCUCUUGCAUGAUUAUGGUAUUAGAGUAUUCAAAGUGCCUAGCACACGGUUGGCGCUCAGUGAAUGCAGCUAGUGUGACUUCUCCUAGUGGCUCCCCAGUGCUAGCCCCAUCAGCCUGGUCUGCCCUGUGGAGUAACAGUGCCUUUUAGUGGCUGAACAGGGAAUGACAGGUCUUCUAGGUGCCCGGGCCCUGCUUCUGCCCCACCCCACAUCCCACAGGCUAUAAGUCUCCAUUGUCCUACACAAUCAGAGCUGACAACAACUCAGACCCAGCCAGCAUGCACCUCUCAAAAGAGCCCAAACCCCACUCUGGUCAGCAAGGGACAGGCUUCGUUGUUCUAGUACUGGAGGACUUCAAACCCGGUGGGUUCUGAAUCUUGGUCUAGGAAGAAAACACAACCUUGAGUAGCUUGGGAACAGUUUUCUAGAAAUGGCCAUGACCUCCAACCCCUCCAACCCCACCCCGAAGAAUCGUGUGAGUUGAAAGCAAAAUUCCAGCUGCACAGCCAGGCAUUCCCCAGCAAAACAAGGAGGAAAGCCAUUCAACAAACACCAGGCACCGUCCGGGUCGCUGGUUCCACCAGGCUGCAGAUACCACCGCCAGCAAGCACAUAGCCCUGCUCUCCCAGGUAGCUGACCAUUUAGUGGGAUAAAGACAUCAGCCAAACAGUCACCCGGAUAUAUAACUGCAGACCAUAAUAAGGUCAUGAAGGAAAGGUUCAGGGUGCUGAGUUCACCAUGGACCAGAUAAGGGGCUCCCACAGGCCUCAGGAGCACCUCACUAGUUAAGGUGCCGCCCCUAGGCUCCGUGCACUUAGCAUAUAUUUGAAUGUUCACUACAUUUUGGAGGUGGGAUGACAUGGCUCUGUGCUGUCUACCCCUCAAAUUGGUAGACAGGAGUCAGAGAAGUCACCAAAGGAUGAACAGGCAUUAGUAAGUGCUGGUUUUUAAAAAGAGCAUGCCCAGAAGCAGUUCAAAGGUCCUGAGGUGGGAUCCCAUGGGGCAUCUUGGUGCACAGAAAUCAAGGGUAGUGGCAGUAACUCUGGAGCAAUAGGCAGGGGCCAGGCCAUGAGGCAUCGGGGGUCAUAAUCAAGAGUGCAGAUGUCACAUUUAGUGCUUCUGCUUCCCUGUCACCCACCCACCCACCGACCCCACCCGCCUGCUGGGACAGGCCCCUCAUGCUGCCUUCCUCUUCCCCUCACUGCCCAGGGUGCCUCUGUUAAGUCUUUUCUGGACUCCAUCCUUUUUUCCCUUCUCUCUGUAGCAACCUAUCAAAUGUGUCAGAGAUUUUUUUCCCUUUCUUCCUUCCUCUCUUCUUCCCACAGAAAAUCCUAAGUAAAAACUGGCAUUCAAAACCAAAGUCCCAUGCCUAAGCUGCAAGGAUUUCUUGCCAGCCCUGUGUGCCCUGUGCUAGGCCUGGGGAUGAGAGAGAAGAUAAGCUCGAGAAAAUAUGCUCUUUCCUUACCCUUAAGGGGCUUCUCAUCUUGUCCUGAAUCCAGAGACUGCCUCUCAACUAUGCACUACUACAUUCUGAGCCCUGUUGUUGGAAACAACACUUAUAAAUGCUCCCUCUCUUUCUGAACAUUCAGGUCCCCACGCGGGAAUCAACCUGGUGGGCAGUCAGUUCAUCUGGCAAAUGGCUUGAGGUACACAGGAAGGGGCACUGUACCUGGAGCCAAAUGCCUGGGUUUGUAACCUGGCUCUGCCAUUUUUCAAAACUGUGUGUCCUUAAAUUUUUUGACUUCUCGGGGCUUUGGUUUCUUCUUUGAGAAAGUGGGGAAUAACAGGACUUUCCUGCCUACCUUGCAGAGGGUUUACGAGGAUCAGAUGAGGCACUGCAGUGGUCCCCACAUAAGGCUUCUGUGACAGGUGGCAACUGUGAGGACAUUUUCACCAGCCCAGGGUGAGAUGAGGAAAAUAAGGUCAGCAGAGGGAGGCAUUCACAAAGGUAGAUUUAUUCAAGGGGAAGGACUGGCCAUUAUUCUGAGAUUGUGUCCUUCUUUGCAUUGAAACUGCAUUUGUUUCAUGAAAUGAUGUUAGAAGAUUUUUAUGAAUGUUUUCACUUCACAAAAUAAAAGCGUAACUAUUCAGUUUGGGGGGAAACUCACUGCUCUGUGAAAACCCAAAUCCACCCGAGUAAGUGAACCCUCUGCAAACCACAGGUACUACUCUUGCUGCCCCACCUCCUGGACUCCUGGCCACAGCCCUCUCAUCCUGGAGUUAAAAGCAAAGUUUCUGGAACCCAACUGUUAGGGCUUCAACACCGAUGAUACACUUUCUAGCUGUGUGUGAUUGUGGACACGUUGCUUAUGCUUGAGUUUCAGUAUCUAUAGUGAAGACUAAAUGUAAGGGACGUGAAACAGCGCGUGGCACCUAUGGACACCGAUGAAUGUGAGCUGUGAUUAUUAUAUUAUUUUUCCUCCCAGCCCCAGCUCACCAGGUCACAGCUGCCUGUGCCAAGCCUUACGUCAUUAUGCCCUCGGGUUCUCUUUCUCCAUCUCCAAGGCCUUUCUAGAUCUGCCUUUAGGGGCCAAGAAGCCAUUGGUUUCUCCUAGAAAGUUCUGGGAAGGGAAACAUACAGGACUGUUCCUAAUAAGCAGAAAGAAGAAGAGGGGUUUUAACUCUACUGUGAUGUGUGUGUGUGUGUGUGUGUGUGUGUGUGUUUUCCUUUCCAUCUAAAACUCUGUCCAUUGACUUGCAAAUGAGGAAUUGCUUUCAGGUUUUCAGCCAUCUUUUGCCACAGCUAAGCCCAGAAGUGAACUUGGAAGCUGAAGACUUGAGAGGGGCACGUGCUUGGCAGAGACCAGGUGUUUUGGUUUGUUUUAAGAGAAUCCUUUUUUACUUCGGUUUCCCCUUUACAGGACACAGACUCAAGACCUCUUCCACUUGUGGCAGACAUGCGUGCUCUCCAUCAUUCGCUAACAAGACGUCACAGCAUCUGUCUCCCUUGUGAUUAAAAACGUGCGGGGAGCUAGAACACACAUAUGCCUCAAAUGCUUCUGUUCCAAUAAGAGAAAACUCACAGCUGGCCCUGGGCUGGGGCCAGCCCCUCCAGAUCUGAGCAUAGGAAGACAAGAGGCUUGGUCCUGAACUUCCAGAACAAGCUGAAAACACCAGCUAGCCCCCGAUUCCACUCUCCGUGGGAGUUGGC